rnacentral:lncRNA from 1 species
GAAUUUUGAUUUUUCUGGAGUAGCUAUAAAACAGGUCUUCAAUAACAAAAAUGCAAAUAUUAUUUUGGUAAGUGUUGAGUCCCAACAGGAAACAAAGGACACUCUAUCUAUUUAUAAAGACACCCUUGGUAAAGGUCUGUGUAGUAUGUUGGAGAUAUUAAUGAAUACAGCAAGAACCCUGGUCUAGCAGCAGUAGGGAUGCCCUCUAAUCCUAUCCCAGGAGAAUGAAAAGUGGAUAUUCUACUGGUGUAGAAAAGGAGAAAGAAUUGUGUAGGGCAAGUUGCCUAGGAGAACACAGUAAUCCUGAGACAACCUACCAGAACAUGGGACCUAAAUGAAUAAAUGCGUAAACUCACUUAUUCUUCUCUCCAAUCUUCUCCCAGUAUCCCCACUGGCUCAUCCAAGGAGCAUUCGUAUGUGUCAUUGGCUUGUUAAUAGAAUCUGGGAGAUCAACCUUUUGGGGCAGAGAGCAAAGUGGAAAAGGCUGAGAGUACAUCUGGAAGAGCAUAUGGCUGGUAUCUGGUUCAGGAAUUCAAUACAUCUAGCUUUCCAGUUCCUCUGUGGAAUACUUCAUCAUCUGGCAUAUGACCUCAGACCAUCUCCCAGUCCUCAUCAUCUGGGCUUUGUCUUCAGACCAGAUUCCAGGGUGCCAUACUUCCAGGUGUCAGACCAAGACACAGUGGUGCCAAAGGAAAGAGACAAUGUCUGCUUCUUUGAGAACACCUUGCCCAGGAUCUGGACCCAGGCUUAGCACUCAGCUUGCAUUGGCGAAAAUUAUAUCACAAAUCUACACUUAGGCCAAUUGUCAAGGGUAAGGUAAUGACUGAGACUGGCUUAUAAAAUUUAGGAUCCAUGCCUUGGGACUGCAGAUUGUUCUAGACUUCUCAGAAAUGUCAGGAUCAUAGUGGAUCCAGGAACAACAUGACAGUUCUAUAAAGAAGGAGAGAGGGCAUACAGAUAGACAGGGAAGCAACCACCAGUGUCUCCUAUACAAGAGUACGAGGAGGAAACCAGUGUUUUCCUUGACUUGAAAUAUUCUAUCACAUUUGAAUAUUCUCCAAAUGGGAUAGUGUCAUAUUUUUCAAAUAUACAGUAUACUUUUGGGUGAUUAAAUGAAGUGGAUAAAUUACAUCACCACCUACCCACCCUUGUCCUUUCUGUUACCUCUAGCUCCUGUCUUCCCAAGCUCCUGGAUUUGCAAUGUCUUAUUACCUUCUCGAUUUUCUUCUAUAUCUGAACUUACCAAGCCAGUAUUCUCAUCCUCUCUGUAGGGAGGUAUUGAGGUACUUGAAGGUGUUCAUUUGGCUUAAUAGGGUACCUCUCUCAGAUAUGUUUGAAGUUUAAGAGCCAUUUGUAAUAUUGGUAGGACAAAAUAAGAAGGAAGAGGAAGGGGAGGAGAAUUAUGGUAGAAAUUGUAGGUCAUAAAACAGACUGAUGGUGGAGAUAUUUUGAGUAAAAGAUAUCUCUUUUCUUCUGCAAAUAAUUUACACAGGCCCUGAUUUUGCUUAAAAUCAUGGCUUUCAUAUGUAGCAAAGGUUACUCUUAGCCCACAACAAAUAAAUGCUUUGCAAUUAUAGAACAGUUAGCUCUGAUAAGGUGAAAGCAAUUUGUAAAGCUUUGUCACAAUAUUAAAGUCUCUAGCCUAGUAUUCUGUCCAUUGUAGUUCAGUUAAUAUGACUACAUAAAACCUACACAUGUAGGUAAGUCGCUGU